AUGGAUGCAAAGUGGGAAAUGCCUGCUCGAAACACAGUCUAUUGGAGAAUAGGUGUGCAAAAGUGAGAUAACCUAGGAAGUGCCGAGUAAUCUGAAGGACAUUUUGAUUUCAGGAGUUUUUACUGAAAUGGAAAUGUUUCACAGUGAAAAGUUUUCAGAAAACACAGGAAUCGUGCUUUGUAAGGGUUGGGGCCUUGAAGAGGUAUUAGAUUUUAGCCUAGGAGGGAGGAUCCUCAGUGGAAAAAGGCAGCACGAGCCAAGUCGUGUAGGUAGGAUCCAGCACGAAGCGUGUAGAAUGAUAAGGAACCCACCCUGGCUGGCAAUGAAGCAUGUAGACUGCAAGUAUGAAGUUGGGUGAGUGUGGGUGGGGACACAGAAGCUGAGCUGUACUCGGUCAGACAGGUAAUGAAGCCCCAAAACUGGGUGGCUCAGUUCUGAAGAUUGGUUGCACUGCAGCAUGAAUGUACUGAACAGUACUAAACCGCACGUUUAAAAAUGUUCAAGACAGUAAAUUUUAUAUUAUGUUUAUUUACCACAAUUAAAUUAAAAAAAACUGACCGAAAAUGACAGCUGAGUUCAUACAUCUCUAGAACAGGGGAGUUCUAGCCUGGGCCAGCUUGGUUGAUUUCUCCUGGGUUUGCUCAGCUGAACUGUUCGGCUGUGGCUGGACCACUUGGUGGUUAGCACACUGGGCCAUAUACGUGUCUCAUCCAGCAGGCCAGCCCCAAAGGCUUCUCCUCGUGGCUGGAAGAGCACAAAGUGCAUGUACUUUUCAGGUCUUUGCUCUAGUUACAUUUGCUACUUUGGGGCCAGAAAAAAAAUCAAAGGGAAAGCCCAGAGGAGGUGGAGAAAGGUCCCAUCUCCUAAUCAAAAGACCCACAAAAUUUUUGCAGCCAUUUAUAACUUAACCACACUAGUCAAUGUUGACAACAACCCUGAAGAGAGAGAGUCCUCUUAUUGCUGCCAUUUUACAGAUUAGGAAAUGGUGGCAUAAAGGAAUACAAUAACUUUUGUGAGGUCACACAGCUCCUUUGUGGUCGUGCCAGGGUGCCAACUUAGGCUUGUCUGAAGGCCUCCAUGUUUUCUAGUUUGGAGGCCACCUGGUGGGAUAAAGAGCAUAGGCUUUGGCUGUUCCUGACAGCCAAUCAAAUGCCAGCGCUGUCACGUGUUCCCAGCUCAUAGCAGGCAUCCUCCUACCACUUUUCUUCCCUUCCUGCUUCUGCUGUGCUUUAGCUUCCUUCCUCCCUCCUCCUGUCUUCCUUCCUUCAACAACUGGAGAUAAUAGCAGUGAACAAGAUAGGUAAAGAUCUUGAUCUGAGAGUCUGAAGUCAGGGUAUUCAAUUUGUAAUGUUGAGAUUUGGGUCUGGAGACUGGACUUCUCUGUGUCUCAUUUUUCUCGCUGUAAAAUAAGACUGCUGAGAAAAGUGGUAGCAUUGGGUACUUCUAGAGAAAGAAGUGGGUGGCCAUGGUAAAGGGGUAGGAGAAAAGCUUUUCACAGUAUCAUCUUUUUAAAUCUUUUAGACACUCGGGCUAGUCCCUCUUCUAGCUCUGAGAUUUGAUGAACAAUACUGUAUGACAUUAUUGGUUUUGUUAGUUGCAGUUUUGAGCCCUUUUUAACCCCUGUGAGCCAUUUUAACAUAGUUGAGUGUACCUCAAAUUAGAGCAAACAGCAAAAACCAUUUUCCUUCACUUAACAUAUUAGUUUCUCUCUUAAGUAACAAAGAAGUUGGGGGGAUUUGCACUUAUCAGAUAUGGAGGGCUGGUUAUUUCUAUCAGCAGGAUUUGGCUAUAGGAAUUCAGAAUUCAGUAAACUUGAUUUAUACCAAAUUUUUAGGAGCAUAUCAGUAAAUCCAGGGCCUACUGCCACCUGCAAGGUGUGACAUUCCUGAGGGUACAUAAUGGGGAGAGCAGGUGUUUUGUAAACAUGCAGUUCCAGCAUCUGUCACGCUUCAAUCCUGCUAUUAAGCCAAAUAUCUUAAGUCUGAUAAAUCUAAAUCCUGACUCUGUUAAUCUGAAUAACUUUUGGUCAUUUAACCUCAGAGCAACAGUGUGUUUACCUGUGAUGCAGAUACCAGAUCACAGUCCCUGCAGCACAUUUCCCAACUCCAAAAUUAUCUGAAAACAAGGAGUUUGGUAAUAAGUCUGGCUCAAGGUUAUUUUGUAGCAAAAAAAAAAAAAUUGCUCUAAAUUGAAGUGACCCCAGUUAGUAUAAAUAUUCAAAUGUUUUGCUGAAGAAAUGUUAAGAUCAAUUAUGGGAUGCUGCUCCACAAUGACUGUGGCUGUAUAUGCAUUUUAUUUCCUGUUUUCUACAACACAAAAAAAUCUGAAUCCUGCUGCAUGCUGCUGGCCAUGAAGAUUUCAGGUGGGUUGUAGGUCUGUAACACCUUCCUUAAAGGGUUUUUUCAAGAUUAAAAAGGUACAGCAGGUUAAGGACUUACAGUAAUGUUUGUAUUGUGCUCAACAUGUAGCUGCCCAAUAAAUGGAAGCUAUUAAUCUUGUCACAUAAAUUCAGUUCUCAAGUUUGUGGGUCUUUCCCCUGCUUCUGAGGGAACCUGUGCUACCUAACGUCUUAA